rnacentral:rRNA from 1 species
UACGGGGGGGGCAAGCGUUGUUCGGAAUUACUGGGCGUAAAGGGUUCGUAGGUGGCCUGCUAAGUCAGACGUGAAAUCCCUCAGCUUAACCGGGGAACUGCGUCUGAUACUGGAUGGCUUGAGUUUGGGAGAGGGAUGCGGAAUUCCAGGUGUAGCGGUGAAAUGCGUAGAUAUCUGGAGGAACACCGGUGGCGAAGGCGGCAUCCUGGACCAACACUGACGCUGAGUGAGCGAAAGCCAGGGGAGCAAACGGG